UAUUUGUCAGCUGUUCCAUACAAACAUGGGCUACUAAUUAAUCAUUGAUUAUGGAUUGACAUGUUUUUACUUGAAGAUUUUCCUCAUUGAUUGCUAAGUUCACCUGAAACUGAUCACCUGACCCAUCAUGGUCACACCUGAUUGAUAAUUGAACCCUGGCUGAUCAGUUUUCCCCACAGGCUGAAAGAAGAGAGCUGAAGCUAUUGAUCAGAAAUGAUGGAAUGUUGAUCUUCUUUAUUAAUCAUUUUAAUCAGAAUUUUCCCGUCCGGUUCUGCCUUGGCUGUCCAGAUGUUGCCGGCCUCCAUCCAGAUCACGGGGGAGUUGCUGUCCGCAGCCGAGGUCCAGGACAUCUGUGAGAGUCUGAAGGAGGACGGGGUCCGCCUGCUGUCCGUCCGCGGCUGCCAGCUCUCGGACCGGGACUUCGGACGGGUCUGCCGGAGCGUUGCUGAGUCGCGCUCGCUCGCUCAACUCAACCUGAACCUGGGCGUGGUCUCCAGCAUCAGCCGCACGCGACACCUGGCCGACGCCUUGACCAACAACCGGUCCCUGCAGACCCUGUUUCUCCAUGGGAGCCCACUCCUGGAUGCCGGCCUGGUGACUCUGAACCCGGCCCUGUCAACCCACCCAUCCCUGGUCUGCCUGGAUCUGGGAGACUGCAUGCUGGGAGACGAGGCACUGGCUCUGAUCUGCGGGAUGCUGCCACCCGACGGAGCAAAGUCAGGUCUGAGGGAGCUGACUCUGAGCGCCAACCCAGGAAUCAGCUCCAAAGGCUGGGCUCGACUCGCCAUCGCCGUGGCUCACAGCUCCCAGCUCCGAGUCCUCAACCUGGACUACAACCCGCUGGGUGAUCAGAUGGCGGGAAUGCUGGCGGUUGCCGUGGCGUCCAGUAGAACCCUGGAGGUGCUGGAUCUGGAAGGAACCGGACUGACCAACCAGUCAGCACAGGUGUUCCUGGACAUGGUGGAGAACUACCCAACCAGCCUCCGGGUUCUGGUUCUGGCAGAGAACGACAUCAGUCCUGAGCUGCAGCAGCAGAUUAGUGACCUGCUGUCUGAAGGAGAAGAAGAAGACGAGGCCCCACCUCUUUAUAAAGGCCCCACCUCCAGCAGUGCUCUCCAGCCAAUCAGAGACAAGUACCAACCAAUUAGAGACAAGUACCAGCCCCUGACCUGGCUCCCUCACAGCAGUAAGGGUUGAACACUGUCCCCUGUCCUCACCUGCAGACCCCCUAUAUACUGUUCCCACUAUAAACUGUCUCCUCGGACUGUGUGGUGUCCUGUGUGGUGUUUAGGUAACAGUAGGAGAUUUGUGUUCUAUAUAAUUAUGGAUUAAGUGUAAAACUGGUGCUGCUGGUAUUUAUCUAGUCCCAGUUAACAAAGAAUAAUGCUGUUUAUUAUUAAUAUUUGAUCAAUAAGAGGUAAUAUCACUUUGGGGCCCUCCUGUUUUUCCUCUGAUUUCAGCUCAGUGCGCUGAGGUUCAGGUCCUGUUUCAGGUUCUGGAACCGGUCUUUCUUGAAGGCAGGAACUUCAGUCACAGGUGGCAAUAAAUACAGAAACAGUGAAGUUUCAGGUGAAGAUUAAAAUUUAACGUUUCCGCUAUGUAACUGAUCAGCUUCAGAAAGUCUGAGGAGAAAAAACUUCUGAAUACAACUCCGGACCCCACAUGGUCACGCUGACGUCAGGUCUAGGUGAGAGCUUAUUGGCUGAG